rnacentral:rRNA from 1 species
GACGAACGCUGGCGGUGUGCUUAACACAUGCAAGUCGAGCGGUAAGGCCCUUUUGGGGGUACGACGAGCGGCGAACGGGUGAGUAACACGUGGGUGACCUGCCCUCAGCUCUGGGAUAAGCCUGGGAAACUGGGUCUAAUACUGGAUAUGACCUUUCCUCGCAUGGGGUUGGGUGGAAAGUUUUUCGGUCUGGGGAGUGGGCCCGGCGGCCUAUCAGCUUGUUGGU